UGGAAAUAUUGACAAUAUUAAGUUGAGGUACUCUAGUGAGUAGGCUCCAGGAGGGCCACGUCACUGUGAACUGCUUCAAGAAGUUAAUAGCACGCGAAAGGAAGGAAAAGUGAUGGCCUUAUGAGAAAAUGAUAUCUCAGUGUUGCGGUGGUGUUACUGCAACUAGAACUAAGUAGCAAGUAUCUGGGCUGAAAGGGAUCUCAAGAUGAACAAGUGUGAUAGUUGAUUAGUUGAAUUAUUUAUGUUAAACCUACUUAACUUAGCUGAAGUAUGGUAGCAAUAUAUGUUAAGUAUGCUUAAUUUAGUUCUUAACUGAAAGGAUUGGUAGGAACAGUUGUUUAAUUUUUUCUUUUCUGGAAGCUGAAUUAUAUAUAACAAGUCAUUUGUGUUAAUGUAUGAAUACAUGUACUUUUCCCAA